rnacentral:lncRNA from 1 species
ACCAAUUGUCAUAGAACGUUUUUUUGAUAUUCCGAUAAAAAUAUGUCAACACCUCCAUUUUCCCUAUCAUUUCAUUGAAAAAUGGUCCCUUUUACAUACCUGUUUAAAACUAAAAUUUUGAGCUUAAAUGGUCCGUGACCCCCUAUUUUUUUCGACCAAUUUGAUUCACUUUUUGUAAAGAAUAAAAUAACAAGAAAUACGGC